GGGUGCGAUCAUACCAGCACUAAAGCACCGGAUCCCAUCAGAACUCCGAAGUUAAGCGUGCUUGGGCGAGAGUAGUACUAGGAUGGGUGACCUCCUGGGAAGUCCUCGUGUUGCACUCCU
rnacentral:rRNA from 6 species